UCCCGAACUGCACUUGCCCUACUUCCGAUUUUACUUCCUUAUUGCUUCAGACCUUUUCCCGAGAUGGUAGAUACUCUGCUCGCUUCACUUUCCCAGCUUUACGUUGAAAAUAAGAAAAGUUAUUCAUAAACACGUGUAGUUUUAGUCCAGUAAUAUUGUUGUGUUUUGUAUUAGCAAUUUUGUUUAUUUUCAUGCACAAUUUAGCGCCUUGAGUGAGAAGUGUGCCGGAUGUUUAUGUGUGACGUGGGGUUGUAGUGUAGCGUCUCAUGCUGAAUAUUACUUGUGAAGCUGUUUGUUAACAUUGCGCAGUUUACUUAUGGUGAUACACAGGCUCUGAAUGCCCUAUUUCUUCACACUUGCAGUUGACAAUUAGACCCACCACAUAAAGAAGAUAGUGGAAUUUUAAUAUGGAAAAAUGGCUUCUGCCUGUUAAAAAUAAGUUCAGAUGCUGAUUUAUUAAGAUGUUUUUUUAUUUAUUUUAUGUUAUUCUGCGUUAUUACACUUCACGUUUAGGGCUGUGAUCUAAGGACUCUGUACACAGGCAGGUUGUGAAUGCAGACAAUAUGCGAUCAGAGAGCAAGCAAAUCAUCAUCAGAAAGGCCAUGUCAUAGCUUGGUGGUUCUGCUUAUGUGUGUUUUAAACACUUUUAUUUUAAUAACCUGCAAAACUUUUGCUGAACAGAAACUGUGGCCAUAAGUGGCAAUCACAGGAUGAAGAGAAGUCAUAAAGUCAGUAUACUGACUCAUUAAUGUCACUUUAUUGUAUGACAUGCAUAUUAUUGCAUGUGAAUCCGACUUUAUAUUUGCAAGAAAGAAUGUGUUAUAUGUUCUCUCAAACAUUACUGUUUAACAGUGUAUUCAAACCACUUGUUUAAUCACUGGGAGGGUCGAAGACAAAACCUAAAUGUUCUUUCUGGAAAAUUUUGUCACAGGAGUGCAGUGUUUGUGCAGAGAAGCUGAAACUUCAUGAGCGGAUUGGUACGCAGGGUUGACAGUUAAUUUUGGUAUAUGUAUGCAUGUAUGCAUGCAGGUAUGUGUGUGUGUUAGGGGUUGGGGGGUGUUUGGUGAGUCAUGGGGCCAAGCAGCACCUGUGCUCAUUGGAAAGUACAAGUCUGACAAGUUUUUGAAACUUAUGACUACCUGCAGACUAGCUGAUAUCAUUCCAGGCUCAAAGGAGGAGAAAUAGAUCCUGAUAGAUCCUGGAAUUUCUUAAAUAAUCUCCGUCUUAAUCACCUGGAUGAACUGGGCUGUUCGGUCUUCUGCCUGAACGUUGCAGAAACCAGCCUCCUGAAUGAACUACAUAAGG